rnacentral:rRNA from 1 species
UGGGGAAUUUUGCGCAAUGGGCGGAAGCCUGAUGCAGCGACGCCGCGUGGAGGAUGAAGGCCUUCGGGUUGUAAACUCCUUUUGUAGGGGACAAUGAUGAUGGUACCCUGCGAAUAAGCCACGGCUAACUCUGUGCCAGCAGCCGCGGUAAGACAGAGGUGGCGAGCGUUGUUCGGAAUCACUGGGCUUAAAGGGCGCGUAGGUGGCAGUGCAAGUCUGGGGUGGAAUCCUAUGGCUUAACCAUAGAAUUGCCUUGGAAACUGUAUUACUUGAGUCAGUGAGGGGAGGGUAGAAUUCCUGGUGUAGCGGUGAAAUGCGUAGAUAUCAGGAGGAAGGCCUGUGGCGAAGGCGGCCCUCUGGCGCUGAACUGACACUGAGGCGCGAAAGCGUGGGGAGCAAACAGGAUUAGAUACCCUGGUAGUCCACGCCCUAAACGGUGGGCACUAGGUGUAGGGCUCGUAAGGGUUCUGUGCCGAAGCGAAAGCAUUAAGUGCCCCGCCUGGGGAGUACGGCCGCAAGGUUG